CACCAUCCUCAUAGAGAUCUGUAUCCAGUUAGGUUAUAGUAUAAUACACCAUCCUCAUAGAGAUCUGUAUCCAGGUAGGUUAUAGUAUAAUACACCAUCCCCAUAGAGAUCUGUAUCCAGUUAUAGUAUAAUACACCAUCCUCAUAGAGAUCUGUAUCCAGUUAUAGUAUAAUACACCAUCCUCAUAGAGAUCUGUAUCCAGUUAUAGUAUAAUACACCAUCCUCAUAGAGAUCUGUAUCCAGGUAGGUUAUAGUAUAAUACACCAUCCUCAUAGAGAUCUGUAUCCAGGUAGGUUAUAGUAUAAUACACCAUCCUCAUAGAGAUCUGUAUCCAGGUAGGUUAUAGUAUAAUACACCAUCCUCAUAGAGAUCUGUAUCCAGUUAUAGUAUAAUACACCAUCCUCAUAGAGAUCUGUAUCCAGUUAUAGUAUAAUACACCAUCCUCAUAGAGAUCUGUAUCCAGGUAUAGUAUAAUACACCAUCCUCAUAGAGAUCUGUAUCCAGUUAUAGUAUAAUACACCAUCCUCAUAGAGAUCUGUAUCCAGUUAUAGUAUAAUACACCAUCCUCAUAGAGAUCUGUAUCCAGUUAUAGUAUAAUACACCA